GUGAGCUCGAUGAGUAGGGCGGGACACGUGGUAUCCUGUCUGAAUAUGGGGGGACCAUCCUCCAAGGCUAAAUACUCCUGACUGACCGAUAGUGAACCAGUACCGUGAGGGAAAGGCGAAAAGAACCCCGGCGAGGGGAGUGAAAAAGAACCUGAAACCGUGUACGUACAAGCAGUGGGAGCACGCUUAGGCGUGUGACUGCGUACCUUUUGUAUAAUGGGUCAGCGACUUAUAUUCUGUAGCAAGGUUAACCGAAUAGGGGAGCCGAAGGGAAACCGAGUCUUAACUGGGCGUUAAGUUGCAGGGUAUAGACCCGAAACCCGGUGAUCUAGCCAUGGGCAGGUUGAAGGUUGGGUAACACUAACUGGAGGACCGAACCGACUAAUGUUGAAAAAUUAGCGGAUGACUUGUGGCUGGGGGUGAAAGGCCAAUCAAACCGGGAGAUAGCUGGUUCUCCCCGAAAGCUAUUUAGGUAGCGCCUCGUGAAUUCAUCUCCGGGGGUAGAGCACUGUUUCGGCAAGGGGGUCAUCCCGACUUACCAACCCGAUGCAAACUGCGAAUACCGGAGAAUGUUAUCACGGGAGACACACGGCGGGUGCUAACGUCCGUCGUGAAGAGGGAAACAACCCAGACCGCCAGCUAAGGUCCCAAAGUCAUGGUUAAGUGGGAAACGAUGUGGGAAGGCCCAGACAGCCAGGAUGUUGGCUUAGAAGCAGCCAUCAUUUAAAGAAAGCGUAAUAGCUCACUGGUCGAGUCGGCCUGCGCGGAAGAUGUAACGGGGCUAAACCAUGCAC
rnacentral:rRNA from 1 species